AGAGUUUGAUCCUGGCUCAGGAUAAACGCUGGCGGCGUGCCUAACACAUGCAAGUCGAACGCUCUCUCGCAAGAGAGGGAGUGGCGGACGGGUGAGGAACACGUGGGUAUCUACCUUGAGGUGAGGAAUACCAGCGAGAAAUCGCUGACAAGACCGCAUAGCUUCUGCGUGAGUAGAAGAAAGUCGCAAGACGCCUUAGG
rnacentral:rRNA from 1 species